rnacentral:rRNA from 1 species
ACGUCGGAACGGCAGCACAGAGGAGCUUGCUCCUUGGGUGGCGAGUGGCGGACGGGUGAGGAAUACGUCGGAAUCUGCCUAUUUGUGGGGGAUAACGUAGGGAAACUUACGCUAAUACCGCAUACGACCUACGGGUGAAAGUGGGGGACCGCAAGCCUCACGCAGAUAGAUGAGCCGACGUCGGAUUAGCUAGUUGGCGGGGUAAAGGCCCACCAAGGCGACGAUCCGUAGCUGGUCUGAGAGGAUGAUCAGCCACACUGGAACUGAGACACGGUCCAGACUCCUACGGGAGGCAGCAGUGGGGAAUAUUGGACAAUGGGCGCAAGUGAUCCAGCCAUGCCGCGUGUGUGAAGAAGGCCUUCGGGUUGUAAAGCACUUUUGUCCGGAAAGAAAAGCUUAGGGUUAAUAACCUUGAGUCAUGACGGUACCGGAAGAAUAAGCACCGGCUAACUUCGUGCCAGCAGCCGCGGUAAUACGAAGGGUGCAAGCGUUACUCGGAAUUACUGGGCGUAAAGCGUGCGUAGGUGGUUUGUUAAGUCUGAUGUGAAAGCCCUGGCUCAACCUGGGAAUGGCAUUGGAAACUGGCUUACUAGAGUGCGGUAGAGGGUAGCGGAAUUCCCGGUGUAGCAGUGAAAUGCGUAGAUAUCGGGAGGAACAUCUGUGGCGAAGCGGCUACCUGGACCAGCACUGACACUGAGGCACGAAAGCGUGGGGAGCGAAC